UCGAACGCUGGCGGCGUGCUUAACACAUGCAAGUCGAACGGAAAGGCCCUGCUUUUGUGGGGUGCUCGAGUGGCGAACGGGUGAGUAACACGUGAGUAACCUGCCCUUGACUUUGGGAUAACUUCAGGAAACUGGGGCUAAUACCGGAUAGGAGCUCCUGCUGCAUGGUGGGGGUUGGAAAGUUUCGGCGGUUGGGGAUGGACUCGCGGCUUAUCAGCUUGUUGGUGGGGUAGUGGCUUACCAAGGCUUUGACGGGUAGCCGGCCUGAGAGGGUGACCGGCCACAUUGGGACUGAGAUACGGCCCAGACUCCUACGGGAGGCAGCAGUGGGGAAUAUUGCACAAUGGGCGGAAGCCUGAUGCAGCAACGCCGCGUGCGGGAUGACGGCCUUCGGGUUGUAAACCGCUUUCGCCUGUGACGAAGCGUGAGUGACGGUAAUGGGUAAAGAAGCACCGGCUAACUACGUGCCAGCAGCCGCGGUGAUACGUAGGGUGCGAGCGUUGUCCGGAUUUAUUGGGCGUAAAGGGCUCGUAGGUGGUUGAUCGCGUCGGAAGUGUAAUCUUGGGGCUUAACCCUGAGCGUGCUUUCGAUACGGGUUGACUUGAGGAAGGUAGGGGAGAAUGGAAUUCCUGGUGGAGCGGUGGAAUGCGCAGAUAUCAGGAGGAACACCAGUGGCGAAGGCGGUUCUCUGGGCCUUUCCUGACGCUGAGGAGCGAAAGCGUGGGGAGCGAACAGGCUUAGAUACCCUGGUAGUCCACGCUGUAAACGGUGGGUACUAGGUGCGGGGUCCAUUCCACGGGUUCCGUGCCGUAGCUAACGCUUUAAGUACCCCGCCUGGGGAGUACGGCCGCAAGGCUAAAACUCAAAGGAAUUGACGGGGCCCCGCACAAGCGGCGGAGCAUGCGGAUUAAUUCGAUGCAACGCGUAGAACCUUACCUGGGUUUGACAUGGAUCGGGAGUGCUCAGAGAUGGGUGUGCCUCUUUUGGGGUCGGUUCACAGGUGGUGCAUGGCUGUCGUCAGCUCGUGUCGUGAGAUGUUGGGUUAAGUCCCGCAACGAGCGCAACCCUUGUUCACUGUUGCCAGCACGUUAUGGUGGGGACUCAGUGGAGACCGCCGGGGUCAACUCGGAGGAAGGUGGGGAUGACGUCAAGUCAUCAUGCCCCUUAUGUCCAGGGCUUCACGCAUGCUACAAUGGCUGGUACAGAGAGUGGCGAGCCUGUGAGGGUGAGCGAAUCUCGGAAAGCCGGUCUCAGUUCGGAUUGGGGUCUGCAACUCGACCUCAUGAAGUCGGAGUCGCUAGUAAUCGCAGAUCAGCAACGCUGCGGAAAUACGUUCCCGGGGC
rnacentral:rRNA from 1 species